rnacentral:rRNA from 1 species
AACAUCGCCUCUUGAUCAACCAUAAGAGGUCUAGCCUGCCCAGUGACAUAGUUUAACGGCCGCGGUACCCUGACCGUGCGAAGGUAGCAUAAUCACUUGUUCUUUAAAUAAGGACUUGUAUCAACGGCAUCACGAGGGUUACACUGUCUCCCCUCUCUAAUCAGUGAAACUGACUUCCCCGUGAAGAGGCGGGGAUACAACUACAAGACGAGAAGACCCCAUGGAGCUUUAAACCCAAUGACAACCUCUAUUAACCACAUCUUAAAAAUUAAAGGACAUUGUUUAUUGGUUUUAGGUUGGGGUGACCAUGGAGUAAAACUAAACCUCCAAGAUGAACGGUCUUAUCCUAAUCCAAGAGCCACUGCUCUAAGAAUCAAAAAUUUGACAUAAAAUGAUCCGGCAACCGAUCAACGAACCAAGUUACCCUGGGGAUAACAGCGCAAUCCAUUUCAAGAGCCCCUAUCGACAAAUGGGUUUACGACCUCGAUGUUGGAUCAGGGUAUCCCAGUGGUGCAGCCGCUACUAAAGGUUUGUUUGUUCAACAAUUAAAACCCUACGUGAUCUGAGUUCAGA